rnacentral:rRNA from 1 species
CAGCCGCCACGGUAAUACAGAGGGUGCGAGCGUUAAUCGGAUUUACUGGGCGUAAAGCGUGCGUAGGCGGCUAAUUGAGUCGGAUGUGAAAUCCCCGAGCUUAACUUGGGAAUUGCAUUCGAUACUGGUUAGCUAGAGUGUGGGAGAGGAUGGUAGAAUUCCAGGUGUAGCGGUGAAAUGCGUAGAGAUCUGGAGGAAUACCGAUGGCGAAGGCAGCCAUCUGGCCUAACACUGACGCUGAGGUACGAAAGCAUGGGGAGCAAACAGGAUUAGAUACCCCCGUAGUCCCUGUCUCUUAUAA